GUCGGCGACCAUACCACAUUGAAAGCAUCGGUUCUCGUCCGAUCACCGAAGUUAAGCAACGUUAGGCCCGGUUAGCACUUGCAUGGGUGACCGUCUGGGAAUACCGGGUGAUACCAGCU
rnacentral:rRNA from 1 species